GACGAACGCUUGCGGCGUGCCGAAUACAUGCAAGUCGAACGAGUGGCGGACGGGUGAGUAACACGUGGGUAACACACCCACAGAGGGGGAUAACGACUGGAAACGGUGGCUAAUACCGCAUACUAUCGGCUGAACCCAUAGGGGAUGAGCUUGUAGGUGCUGUAAAGGCCCACCUAGGCGACGAUCUCUAGCUGGGCUGAGGGUAUGAUCAGCCCAACUGGGACUGAGACACGGCCCAGACUCCUGCGGGAGGCAGCAGUGGGGAAUAUUGCACAAUGGGCGCAAGCCUGAUGCAGCCAUGCCGCGUGUAUGAAGAAGGCCUUAGGGUUGUAAAGUACUUUCAGCGGGGAGGCGUUACCCGCAGAAGAAGCACCGGCUAACUCCGUGCCAGCAGCCGCGGUAAUAC
rnacentral:rRNA from 1 species